UUGUGGAGGAGGACGCCGAAGGUGGGGCUAAUGACUGGGGUGAAGUCGUAACAAGGUAGCCGUACCGGAAGGUGCGGCUGGAUCACCUCCUAACAGGGAGACAACAAAAUGUUAAAUAUUAAUUUUGUCACCUUAGGUCGAUCGGUAUCUCGCAUUCUUAAUUUAUUAAGGAUUUUAUUUCCUAAGUUUUUUCUAGGUCACACCCAUUAUUUUUCCUGGGCCAUUAGCUCAGGUGGUUAGAGCGCACCCCUGAUAAGGGUGAGGUCCCUGGUUCAAGUCCAGGAUGGCCCAUAUCUCUAUGUUGGGGGUAUAGCUCAGUUGGUAGAGCGCCUGCUUUGCAAGCAGGGUGUCAGCGGUUCGAGUCCGCUUACCUCCACUGAUCACCUCUUCAUAAUUUAUAGAAUGGAAAUGUUUUGAGUUGUGAUCAAAUUCUGAACGAAUCUAGCUUCCUAAUUAAACUUAUUAAGAUGCUGGACUCAUUGAAUUAAUUUCAUUGUUUUCAGAGAACCUUGACAACUGCAUAGAUUAUUUUUUAAAGACAAUAAGCAUCUUUAAUGAUGCAGAUUUAUUAUUUGUGCGAAUGCAUUAAUAACAAUUCUAUUAAGCUGAUGCUUCAAUUUUUGAAGUUAUUGGUCAAGCUACAA
rnacentral:misc_RNA from 1 species